ACCAGACUCCUACGGGAGGCAGCAGUGGGGAAUAUUGCACAAUGGGGGAAACCCUGAUGCAGCGACGCCGCGUGAGUGAAGAAGUAUUUCGGUAUGUAAAGCUCUAUCAGCAGGGAAGAAAUAGCGACCUUUGGGUCGCCAGACGGUACCUGACUAAGAAGCCCCGGCUAACUCCGUGCCAGCAGCCGCGGUAAUACGGAGGGUGCGAGCGUUAAUCGGAAUUACUGGGCGUAAAGCGCUCGUAGGCGGUAUGUCAAGUCAAGGGUGAAAUCCCCGCGCUCAACGUGGGAACUGCCUUUGAAACUGGCAAACUGGAGUGUGUGAGAGGAUAGUGGAAUUCCAGGUGUAGGAGUGAAAUCCGUAGAUAUCGGGAGGAACAUCAGUGGCGAAGGCGACUAUCUGGCACAUAACUGACGCUGAGGAGCGAAAGCGUGUGUAGCAAACAGGAUUAGAUACCCCAGUA
rnacentral:rRNA from 1 species